UACGAAGGGGGCUAGCGUUGCUCGGAAUUACUGGGCGUAAAGCGUGCGCAGGCGAUUCUGAAAGUCAGCUGUGAAAGCCCCGGGCUUAACCUGGGAAUUGCGGUUGAAACUACAGGGCUAGAAUCUGGCAGAGGGGGGUGGAAUUCCACGUGUAGCAGUGAAAUGCGUAGAGAUGUGGAGGAACACCGAUGGCGAAGGCAGCCCCCUGGGCUGAGAUUGACGCUCAGGCACGAAAGCGUGGGGAGCAAACAGG
rnacentral:rRNA from 1 species